GUCGAGCGGUAGCACAGGAGAGCUUGCUCUCUGGGUGACGAGCGGCGGACGGGUGAGUAAUGUCUGGGAAACUGCCUGAUGGAGGGGGAUAACUACUGGAAACGGUAGCUAAUACCGCAUAACGUCUUCGGACCAAAGUGGGGGACCUUCGGGCCUCACGCCAUCAGAUGUGCCCAGAUGGGAUUAGCUAGUAGGUGGGGUAAUGGCUCACCUAGGCGACGAUCCCUAGCUGGUCUGAGAGGAUGACCAGCCACACUGGAACUGAGACACGGUCCAGACUCCUACGGGAGGCAGCAGUGGGGAAUAUUGCACAAUGGGCGCAAGCCUGAUGCAGCCAUGCCGCGUGUGUGAAGAAGGCCUUCGGGUUGUAAAGCACUUUCAGCGAGGAGGAAGGGUGGUGUGUUAAUAGCGCAUCACAUUGACGUUACUCGCAGAAGAAGCACCGGCUAACUCCGUGCCAGCAGCCGCGGUAAUACGGAGGGUGCAAGCGUUAAUCGGAAUUACUGGGCGUAAAGCGCACGCAGGCGGUUUGUUAAGUCAGAUGUGAAAUCCCCGCGCUUAACGUGGGAACUGCAUUUGAAACUGGCAAGCUAGAGUCUUGUAGAGGGGGGUAGAAUUCCAGGUGUAGCGGUGAAAUGCGUAGAGAUCUGGAGGAAUACCGGUGGCGAAGGCGGCCCCCUGGACAAAGACUGACGCUC
rnacentral:rRNA from 1 species